rnacentral:rRNA from 1 species
AUGCAAAGAACUUUGAAAAGAGAGUUAAAGAGUACCUGAAAUUGCUGAAAGGGAAGCGAAGGAAACCAGUGUUUUGCUUGGCCAUACUUCCCGGACCACCUGUGGUCUGGGCGCUGUGGCCGGCCGAGGUCUGCCUUUGUUGGGACUGCCGGAGGAGCGCCUGCAGAGUUGAUGCUGGUUGCUAGCGGCGGUCCUGACCGAGGGAGGCGAAAUGGUUUUCUUUACCCCGUCUUGAAACACGGACCAAGGAGUCUAACAUAUGUGCGAGUACAGGGGUGGCAAACCCCCGUGCGCAAUGAAAGUGACAGUGGUUGGACUUUUGCACAAUCCGCCGGCCUCAAUCCCUCGGGAGAACGGUCUGAGUGUGAGCAUACAUGUUGGGACCCGAAAGGUGCUGAACUAUGCCUGAAUAGGGUGAAGCCAGGGGAAACUCUGGUGGAGGCUCGUAGCGAUUCUGACGUGCAAAUCGAUCGUCAAAUUUGGGUAUAGGGGCGAAAGACUAAUCGAAGCACCUAGUAGCUGGUUCCCUCCGAAAUUUCCCUCAGGAUAGCUGCGAUCGGAGUUUCAAUUUUAUCA